ensembl:snoRNA SNORA74 Small nucleolar RNA SNORA74
UCCAGUGGUAGUCAGCUAGCCAUUGCUGCUCAGUGCCUGGGAUAGUGUUAUGCUGCUGGGAGAGAAACGCGCUGCCAAAUCGCGCCUGGCACUGCCAGUGCUGUUCUAGCAUUAGAUGGUGCCAGGUUUUUGGCAGCGCUCUGCAUGCCUGAGAGUGGAGUAACUCCUUCUUGGUGGAGUUAAUCCUAGAUUGGAUGCAGACAAU